GUGUGAGAUGGAUCCGCGUCUGAUUAGCCAGUUGGCGGGGUAACGGCCCACCAAAGCGACGAUCAGUAGCCGGCCUGAGAGGGUGACCGGCCACAUUGGGACUGAGACACGGCCCAAACUCCUACGGGAGGCAGCAGUGGGGAAUAUUGCACAAUGGGCGAAAGCCUGAUGCAGCGACGCCGCGUGAGUGAAGAAGUAUUUCGGUAUGUAAAGCUCUAUCAGCAGGGAAGAAAAUGACGGUACCUGACUAAGAAGCCCCGGCUAACUACGUGCCAGCAGCCGCGGUAAUACGUAGGGGGCAAGCGUUAUCCGGAUUUACUGGGUGUAAAGGGAGCGUAGACGGCGAAGCAAGUCUGAAGUGAAAACCCAGGGCUCAACCCUGGGACUGCUUUGGAAACUGUUUUGCUGGAGUGUCGGAGAGGUAAGUGGAAUUCCUAGUGUAGCGGUGAAAUGCGCAGAUAUUAGGAGGAACACCAGUGGCGAAGGCGGCUUACUGGACGAUAACUGACGUUGAGGCUCGAAAGCGUGGGGAGCAAACAGGAUUAGAUACCCUGGUAGUCCACGCCGUAAACAAAGAAUGCUAGGUGUUGGGGGGCAAAGCCCUUCG
rnacentral:rRNA from 1 species